ensembl:snoRNA LOC120094923 small nucleolar RNA SNORA17
CCAGGCUUAGAGGUAUUGCAGGUGUGGCUGCUGUGUCACAUGUAUAUCAGUAAGUGGCAGAGAGGAGAGAAAAGUUAUGUCUAUACUUCAUGUUAUGCUUCAUGAACAUCAGAAUGAUUAGUAGUCUGACACU